rnacentral:rRNA from 1 species
CCUACGGGAGGCAGCAGUGAGGAAUAUUGGUCAAUGGACGCAAGUCUGAACCAGCCAUGCCGCGUGCAGGAAGACGGCUCUAUGAGUUGUAAACUGCUUUUGUACGAGGGUAAACGCAGAUACGCGUAUCUGUCUGAAAGUAUCGUACGAAUAAGGAUCGGCUAACUCCGUGCCAGCAGCCGCGGUAAUACGGAGGAUUCAAGCGUUAUCCGGAUUUAUUGGGUUUAAAGGGUGCGUAGGCGGUCGGAUAAGUUAGAGGUGAAAUCCCGAGGCUCAACUUCGGAAUUGCCUCUGAUACUGUUCGGCUAGAGAGUAGUUGCGGUAUGCGGAAUGUAUGGUGUAGCGGUGAAAUGCUUAGAGAUCGUACAGAACACCGAUUGCGAAGGCAGCUUACCGGGCUACUUCUGACGUUGAGGCACGAAAGCGUGGGGAGCGAACAGGAUUAGAUACCCGGGUAGUC